rnacentral:rRNA from 1 species
AGUGAACGCUGGCGGUAGGCCUAACACAUGCAAGUCGAACGGCAGCACAGGAGAGCUUGCUCUCUGGGUGGCGAGUGGCGGACGGGUGAGGAAUACAUCGGAAUCUACCUUUUCGUGGGGGAUAACGUAGGAAAACUUACGCUAAUACCGCAUACGACCUACGGGUGAAAGUGGGGGACCGCAAGGCCUCACGCGAUUAGAUGAGCCGAUGUCCGAUUAGCUAGUUGGCGGGGUAAUGGCCCACCAAGGCGACGAUCGGUAGCUGGUCUGAGAGGAGUAUCAGCCACACUGGAACUGAGACACGGUCCAGACUCCUACGGGAGGCAGCAGUGGGGAAUAUUGGACAAUGGGCGCAAGCCUGAUCCAGCCAUACCGCGUGGGUGAAGAAGGCCUUCGGGUUGUAAAGCCCUUUUGUUGGGAAAGAAAUCCUGUCGAUUAAUACUCGGUGGGGAUGACGGUACCCAAAGAAUAAGCACCGGCUAACUUCGUGCCAGCCGCCGCCGUAAUAC